ACCGGGCUUCGGCCCCCUUUACAAAAAUGUACCAGGGACCAAAGUUCCAAUAUGGGCUUACACACCGCCAUCCACUACACAGGGCAGAGCACUGGAAAAGGGCCCAAAAGUUUUUAUGUGUUCUGGGUCUCAAACAAGCUGAUGAAGCGGCGGCAGCAGCAGCAGAACUAUAGAAGAUGGCAACGGUGCUCCGGACUCCGGAGCUCCUGCCUCCCUCUUCGACCGGAGCAUCAUCAGUUAUUGUGGUGUGUUAGCUAAUGUUUUAGGAAACCUUCGACCGGGGUCUGUACUCGGGGGAAACAAAGGUCCAGGUAUGUCGGGUUCGAAAGCAUCAAGUGCAGUUGGGUACAACAGACACAUGCACACGCUCACACUUCUCGGAAGUUUUGUUGUCGAUUUUCCUCCAUUCAUUUCUUCAUGGUCUCUCGAUCUGUUAAAGUGGUUCGAAUUUGUAUAGUAGGUAAUUGUUGAUGAAAUCAUAGAUUGGUUCGGUUUGGGAAACCUCGAAGAUUUGAUUUUCGCUUCUCUUUGUCUCUAUGGUGAUGGUAAAUCUUAUUUAAUUUCUGGAUAAUCAGUUCUCGGAUUCUGAUGAAUCAUUGAACCAUUUCUUGCUGUAGUGAAAUGUCGGAAUUAGUAUGCCUUUUCCUACAUGCAUAUUUGCCAAACCCCAUUAUAUUCCAGUAGAUGCGCAGAGAAACCCGAUAAUAUUAUGCAAGGACCAACCGAAACGAACUAACCGUGUUUGAGACUUGCAAAUAUUUAAGCAGAGGUCCUACCCCGCGGUACAUUAAACACACCAGAAGUUCAAAGACACAGGGGAACUGAUGAGAAUAAAACCAUGGUACUGAUAAGUGAUAAGCACAGAGGAAUCUCUCGUUUGGUGAUGAGAUUCAACCAUACUUCAAUUUUCGUCUCUGGCAUCUCCAAGGUUGAUGAUGUUAUUAAUGGUAAUUCUUGGGAGCGGAGAUGCACAAGGCUGAUUGGAAUGCCCACAAAUUGCCAAGCUGCAGAAAGAAUUAUCCCUGAUAAUGCUGCUGCAGACCAAGUUGGAUGGUUUCCUGAUAAACAAGGGGAGUUCUCUGUUUCUGAUACCUGGAAUCACCUGCGAGUGAAAGCAGAAAAAGGUUGGUUGGCGUGGUGCUAUUUGGUUUGAUGCAUGUAUCCGAAACAUAGCUUCAUAUUGUGGCUCGCCAUUCUGAGCAAACUAGCAACUGGAGACCAAAUUGUCAGUUUGGGAACUGGCUCUGGAGAAGUUUCGUGUCUUUUCGUAAUAACUCAGAAGAAUCUAGGACUCAUCGCUUCUUCCAACGCCCUUUUGCUCAGAUGAUUUGGAAGCAGGCUCUUAUUCUUCCUGGAAUUGACAAAGCAGUUGUUGAGGGGCAUGCUGAGUUGCAGUAGAUCGUCACCUCUUAGAAGGGUAAAGCUCUUGAUAAGGUAGUUGCCAAACUUACUUUCUCGAUUUCUAGAUUUGUAGAUCACAUGAUAGGUUAGGUUCAGAUUAAGGCAGGACCAGCAGAAGAGACAGUGCUUAGACAAUUCUCAGUUCUUAUUACUAAUGGACGUCGACCGUUAUAGAUAUUCUUUUGUAUGGUGUAAGGAUGACACAGUCUUGCAUGUUGCGCCUUUAAUUGCUCACGAAUGCUCUGUCUUUUAUGAAUGCUCUGUCUUUAUAAUUGGAGAUCUGUUGUAUUAGUUAUGGUAUGAGGAUGGGGAAUUACUGAUUGUUCUGCGAACUUCAUGCAUCUCGAGUUUAUCAUUUUGACCUUGGUCGCAUCAACAUAUGACAUUCAAAUAAUUAUUAAGAGUGGGGGCAUAGGCUUUGACAUGGCAAUUUUGGUUUAUAACACUUGGAAGUGCAAACAUAAAAUGUCGAUAUAACUCUACCUUACUACUUUCUGGUGUCUGCUAGUUUAGCUAGUUUCAAGUUACUGCAUGGCUGGCCUGGUUACGCAUUGAUAAAGCACCUCAACAAGCUUCGUUGUGUUGUCACCACUCAUUUAUUUCUAUGUAAUGUGUUUGACGGGAUUGCUUGUUUGCAAGACUUGGAUUGUGGAUUGGCUAGGUUACAUUGGCUUGGAUUACGGUUAUGAAUCUUGUUUUGGCACCAGUAUCAUGUCAUGUGAUGUGUUAAGGUGGCAUGACUUCUUCUGUGUUUCACUAGAGGAAUAUACAGUGGGGAAUCUGGAAUCUCGAUCCUUAUUUAGAUCCCUCCUAUUCUGAGCAGCUAUGGUCAGUUGUUUCAAUCCCAGAUCAUAUUCUGGGAUUUUCAAGCCAGCGUUACUUGUCUAUAUUCUUGCUCUGCUGGUCAUGGAGCUUCUAUUUCUGCUACUCGUUAGCAGUUCUACAAGAGUAUAAGAAUCUCUUGAAGGUGUGCAUACAGGUGUAUGUUUGAUCCUUAUUCGCAUUUGCGUAUCUGGCCUCUGACCUUAUUAUGAACUAGUCAUUAUACCUGCACAUUUUGCAUGUGCUAAUUGAAAAAUGUAGUAUGAUUGAACUAUCUGUUUACCUUUCGUUUCCUUACGGAAGUUAUUAAUCACUUUUACAUUUUGUGGUUUUUAUUGCAUUCUAUAUCAAUCACUUCUUCAUUUUGUUCCCAUACUUUUUCUUUUAUACACCAAAUUUGUUUUACUUAAUAUAGUCCUUGGAUUAUUUUUUUUUAACCCUGAUUGAACCUGUUUUCUUUAGAUAUGGUCUCUCUCAAUUUCUUUUAUUUUAUUAUUGUCCAUUUCCUUUAUUGCGUUUCCAAAAUCUUGAUUACAUCCUGGGAGGAGUGAUCCUUACUCCCUAGUUAUGGGAUUAAUUGGAUGGCUCUUUAAGUGAAUUGAAUAGACUGCUUCUGAGUGAAAGUGAACUACCGUUCUUCUUCUUGACGUAUAAGCUAUGACAACCUCUCUUGCAAUUACAGGCCAAAGGUAAGCAGCUCGUAUAGGCUUUGAAAGGCAGAGUAUUGAUAAUAGUCACUGGGAUUGAAUAAGAUUGGGGAGUGCAAGGCAAUGCAUGGGAGGGAAGGUGAGGAGAGGGUUAAGCAGGUAUUGAAUCCACAUAUGCGAGCUUUGUUGUCUUUGUAGGAGCUGUGGAACGGCGGCGCAUUAUUAUUUCCUGACUCCUGUUUACGGGACUUCUUUGGCAGGUAUUCUCUUCUUAAGCUUCUGCCAUGGGUACUUCAUGCCUCAUUUCAAUGAUUGUUAUCUCUAUCAGGAGUUCUUCAUUAUUGAUUUGUUCUGUAGCUUGAUUUCAAUGACUGUUCUGCUCAACUAUACCUUCUUCAGUGUACUUUGAAUUGUUGAGGAUUAGUUUCAGUUCAUCUACAGUGCAUAGUUCAUUGAGCACUUGAAGUUUCUUUUGUUCAUGUUUGGAAUUCAAGCAGUUCUUAUUUGAAAGAAACAUGGAAAUUUUUCUUGUUCAUGGAAGGAAGUCUGCAGAGAACCAAUGUGGCAUUAGACAUAGCGAGCAUAGUCAGUUUUUAUGGUAAGGAAACCUAGGGAUGGUCAAAAUAUUCGGAUGGAAAGUGUAAUUUUUCAGUAAAAUACAGUUCAGUUGUCAAAAGAAACCAUCUGAGCUGAGACAUUUAAUUGAUGAUGGUAUUGGGGUCAUUACCAGGGGUUGCGGGGGGUUGCAGUAUGAAGAGUUUUCUGAAGCACAUGAAUUACAUUAUAUAUAUAUAUAUGCAUGUAUGCAUAUUGCAAUGUGCAUUUUGUAAUGAUAUAGCUAAAUUAUUGUCAUUGUUAGUGUUAGUGAAGGCUCAAGCAAAAGCCAAAAAGCAAAAAUUGGUCAUGGAAAACUUCAAAGUCAAGCAUGCAAAGAUGCAGUUUGUAUGCUUCAUUCUUUUCACCUACCAUCUAUGACAUAUUGAUAUCCAAAUCUCAGUCUUUGUCUGUCAGUUAUUAUCGUUUCUUGAGAUAUUCUAUAGAAUUUAUGUGUAGGGGAGAUCGAAGCAAGAGGGAAUGCCUAGAUGAUGUUUUUCUUCCUUGGCUUUGGUCUUUGAAAGUUGAUUUUAUUUCUAAGUUGACAUAAAAAUUUAUUGCCCCAAAAAAACAAAGACAGCGGGCAGAAAGGUUUGUCAAUCAGUUCUUUUUGUCAGUAAUAUAUGCUCUUCCCCCUAAAUAUAAUUUACUUGCCUCUUCUACUUUCACAAUUAGUAGAAAGAAAUAAAGUUUUCAGUGUGACCUAGGGUAAGAGAGUACUUGGAUAUAUGAGAAUCAGGGCAUUGCUCUGUAAAAGCAGUCUUAUUCUGGUUUCUUGCAUGAAUUAUUUCUUUUUUUUUAUAAUACUUUUAUGCCCCGACAUUGUUCAAAAUUGUUAGUGAAUCACGAAAAGGUCUAUAUUGGAUGGCUAAAUUCAAUCUUUCUAGUGUCAAUCCUCAAUAUGCUUGUAAAUUCAAGGGGAUGCUGAUAAUCUUGAAACGGUGUAAAACUGUCCCAUCUGUAUAUCUGUUAGUGGGGAAUUUCUCAGACAUGCUCUUAUCAACGUAUGAUGCUGAUCACCAUUGAUUCUCAGAUUAGUCUUAUUCAUGAGCUCUUCUAACUCAAGAAAUAGCUCACUAUGGAGCUAGAGCAGCUCAGAUUAGUGAGUAUUCUUAACUCAUGAAAAGACCAGUCUUUAUAUAUACAUGCAUAUAGAUGUACUUUUAUGUAAAUAGAUAUGGACAGUAGUAUAUAGGAAUGUCCAGCUAUACUCAGUCUUUUGCCAUCUGUAAGAUAUUCAGGCCAACCGAAUCGGAUCCGCCUUGUGGAACCAGACACGACCCGACUCGAGUAAACUGACAAGACUGGUUAGUUUCUAUCAGUUGUAACAUGCUAUUUCUCAUGGUGGGUGGUUAUUGCAGAUAUUUGUGGGGCCCAUUAAUCGGGUAAUAUUCGAAGUAACCACACAAAGUAUAAGCAGUGACCACCAGAUACAUGAAGAAAAGGAUCAAUGAGUGAUUUUGCUCCCGAAUAAUGAGAAUGCGUGACCGCCAGGGCGACAUUCUUGUCACCUAGUGGAAUCCCACUGGCGUCCCUUCGCGGAGACAUUCAGAAGCUGAGUUCAUGAUCAUUCUUCCUGAUCUUGGAGGCGCUAAUUGGCAGCUUCAUUCAGCUACCUGGGUCAUUCUCUAUCUUGGAUUUCUCGGUGACAUUAAUCAAGGAGUACAAUCUGGAUUUUUGUUCCAGAAGUUGAGUGCAGAGGAAGAAAGAGGUUCGAGGCUCAGAAGGAAGAAGUUUGAGGUGGCCACUCGAUUAACAGUUCAAUCGUUGAGGAAAGAAAAAGUUCGAGGGUGGUCACUCCAAUUACAGUGGAGGAAGAAGUUUGAGGCUUUGGAGGAAGAAAUUGGAGGCUAGGCACUCGAAUUACAGCUCAAUCGUAGAGGAAGGAAGAAGUUUCGGGGGAGGGAAAGAAGCCUUAAUCACUGGCCACUCCAAUUACAAUUCAAUUGCAGAGGAAAAAGAUGAACAAAGAUCGGAAAUCGAGCAUGAGCUAUCAUUCCAAUUGUAGUUCGAGCAUUUUCGGAGCUAGGUCGAUUCUUUGUUAUUGUGGACAAAGAGCAUGUCGGAUGAUCUCGAAGAUCAUUGCAAAUCAUGAUCAACCAUUUUACAGGUGUCCUUUAUGAAAGGAUAAAGCUCGUACCUGUGGGUAUUUUAAGUGGGAAGACCAAUUGCAGAAUACUUCUUCAGUUGAAGACCAAGUUCAGAUGAAUGUGAUGUUGCUAGAAGGCAGGAUUGUGGAGUGUGAGCUUCAAUUGAAGAAGCUGGCUCGGCUGUGGUGGAUUUUGACAAUUGUAGUGGGUUUGUUGGUUGUGAGGAUUAUUGUGUACUGAGCUUGUGAUGCUCGGCUGAGCUUGUUGGUUGUGAGGAUUGUUGUGGGGUGGUUCUGAGCUUGUUUAUCGAUGGAUUGUGGGUAGUUUUAGUUAGCUAGGAUAUGUUGGAUUGUUGUGGUAGUUUUAGAGCAAUGCGUCGGAAGUUUUUGCAAGUUGCUAUCCAACUCAGCCCUGUGUUUGACUUGGUUUGUAUUGAUGUUGGUAAUGAAAUUCGUUUGUCAAGUUCUUGUCCA